rnacentral:lncRNA from 1 species
UUGCUGUCAGGAUUUUAUUUCAGAUGAAGAUUUCUCUGAUCUUGAUCUCUUGCAGUUCUUUACCCUUCAAGGUUCUGAUAAGUCUGGAAACCGUGUCUUUCGUAUUGUUGGCAAGUACUUUCCUGGUAAUGAUAACAAUGACGCAGUCUGUCUUACCCUUCUGAAAAGUUUGUUUAUUUUCUUGGUUUUGAGUGCUUAUUUGUGAGUGUUUGGUGAUUUUUAAUGUCUUUUGUUAAUGGGUUCUGUCUUGUUUUGUUUGAGGUUGUUAUAAGAUUGAUUGAUGGCUUUGUUUCCCUUUUACUGUUUGUGUUAUUAUGAGAAAAUUUUGCAACUUUAUGUAGAGGGUUAUGUCUUCUAUUCUAACUGUAAAAGUGCAAGAUGAUGGUUUUCACUAGUAUUGUUUCAACUUAUUAGUAGUGGAAGUUUCACUUCUAGGUAUCUGGGAAUCAGCUACUUCACUGUUUCUUUUUUGCCUUAAUUCUGCCUAUCCUAGAAUGAUGUGGUUUUGUUUGAUGAUACCGUGUGUCUCUACUUGAGUCUCGUCAUCAAAGUUAUGUUUUUUGGACAGAAUGUGUCAGUAACUCCAAUAAUGACUGGUUUUUUUAGUUAGCUAAGUUCAAAUAUGCUCAAAGUUAGUGUCUUUCAGUUUUUAAGAAGAGAAUUGAGAGAUAUUGGCUCACAUGAUUGACAUUAAAUAUCUAGUGGAAGCCAGAUUUUUUUCUUUAAGGGUUAUACUGGAGAAAUUUACUCUCUCGCAGAAUGUUAUUUUGAUUUGAUUGUCAUUUUUAUUCUGUUUCAUGUGCUUUUUUGUGGUAUGCAGCUCAAGUUGUGAGUGGGGAGCGACUGAAGAAGUAUAUUUUCCAUAAAAUAUGUAGUGAGUUACCUGAGGGACCUCUCUGCAUUGUUUACAUGCACAGUACUGUGCAAAAGGAGGACAAUUCACCAGGUGUAACUAUCUUGAGGUGGAUUUAUGAAGAGCUUCCUGCUGGCAUCAAGGAUAGGCUUC